rnacentral:lncRNA from 1 species
CAUUUUCAUUAUUUUCCAGCAAGUACCCAGCAGGUGCAACAACUACAUCAGCAGCUCAAACAACACACUUCCGGUGGCAACUACCACAACCAUGGUUGUAGGCUCAACAACCACAUCUCCAGGUCCAACAACCACAACAGUGGCUCCAACAACCACAACCCCGGGUCCAACUACAACAACCGCAGGUCCAACCACCACAACCGCAGGUCCAACAACCUCAACAAUAGGCUCAACAACCACAACAGUGCCUCCAACAACCACAACAUCAGCUUCAACAACCACAACAGUGGUGUCCAACUAGCACAACACAGCUCCAACAUCCACAACAGCAGCUCCAAACAACCCACAACAGCGGCUCCAACAAUCACAAACCUGGAUCCAACUACCACAACCGCGGUUCCAACCACGACAAUAGUGGCCUCCAACAACCACAACAAUAGGCUCAACAACUUCAACCCCGGGUCCAACAACCACAACAUCAGGUUCAACAACUACAACAGCGGCUGUAACAACCACAACAGCGACUGUAACAACCACAGCAGCGGCUCCAACAACCACAACAGCAGCUCCAACAACCACAACAGCAGCUCCAACAACCACAACCGCAGGUCCAACAACCACAACAGCGGCUCCAACAACCACAACAGCGCCUGCAGCAACCACAACCGCAAUUCUGACUACCACAACAGCAGCUCCAACAACCACAACAGCAGCUCAACUACCACAACAGCAACUCCAACAACCACAACAGCUGCUCCAACAACCACAAACAUCGGCUCCAACAACCACAACUGCAGGUCCAACAACCACAACCGCAGGUCCAACAACCACAACAGCAGCUCCAACAACCACAAAAGCUCCUCCAACAACCACAACAGCGCCUCCAACCACCACAACAGCGGCUCCAACAACCACAACAGCAGCUCCAACAACCACAACAGCGCCUCCAACAACCACAACAGCAGGUCCAACAACCACAACAGCAGGUCCAACAACCACAACAGCAGGUCCAACAACCACAACAGCAGCUCCAACAACCACAACAGCGCCUCCAACCCCCCAACAGCGCCUCCAACCACCCCAACAGCGCCUCCAACGACCACAACAGCGCCUCCAACGACCACAACAUCGGCUCCAACGACCACAACAGCAGCUCCAACGACCACAACCGCAGGUCCAACCACCACAACAGUGCCUCCAACAACCACAACAGCGCCUCCAACCACCACAACAGCAGCUCCAACAACCACAACAGCGGCUCCAACAACCACAACGGCAGCUUCAACAACCACAACGGCAGCUUCAACAACCACAACAGCUGCUCCAACAACCACAACCCUGGCUCCAACUACCACACAACGCGGCUCCAACCACGACAACAGCGGCUCCAACAACCACAACAGCGGCUGUAACAACCACAACAGCGGCUCCAACAACCACAACAGCGGCUCCAACAACCACAACCCCAGGUCCAACAACCACAACAGCGGCUCCAACAACCACAACAGCGCCUCCAACAACCACAACCGCCAUUCUGACUACCACAACAGCAGCUCCAACAACUACAACAGCAGCUCCAACAACCACAACAUCGGCUCCAACAACCACAACAUCGGCUCCAACAACCAAACUGCAGGUCCAACAACCCCAACCGCAGGUCCAACAACCACAACAGCAGCUCCAACAACCACAACAGCAGCUCCAACAACCACAACUGCAGGUCCAACAACCACAACCGCAGGUCCAACAACCACAACCGCGCCUCCAACAACCACAACAGCGCCUCCAACAACCACAACAGCAGCUCCAACAACCACAACAGCAGCUCCAACAACCAAAACAGCGCCUCAAACAACCACAACAGCAGCUCCACAACCACAACAGCAGCUCCAACAACCACAACAGCGCCUCCAACAACCACAACAGCGCCUCCAACAACCACAACAGCAGCUCCAACAACCACAACAGCGCCUCCAACAACCACAACAGCAGGUCCAAACACCCACAACAGCAGGUCCAACAACCACUACAGCAGCUCCAACGACCACAACAGCGCCUCCAACGACCACAACAGCGCCUCCAACGACCACAACAGCGCUCCAACGACCACAACAGCGCCUCCAACAACCACAACAUCGGCUCCAACAACCACAACAGCGGCUCCAACAACCACAACCGCAGGUCCAACAACCACAACUGCAGGUCCUACGACCACAACAGCGGCUCCAACAACCACAACAGCAGGUCCAACAACCACAACAGCGGCUCCAACAACCACAACAGCAGCUCCAACAACCACAACUGCAGGUCCAACAACCACAACCGCAGGUCCAACAACCACAACAGCAGCUCCAACAACCACAACAGCAGCUCCAACAACCACAACCGCAGCUCCAACAACCACAACCGCAGCUCCAACAACCACAACCGCAGCGCCUCCAACAACCACAACAGCGGCUCCAACAACCACAACAGCAGCUCCAACAACCACAACAGCAGCUCCAACAACCACAACAGCGCCUCCAACAACCACAACAGCGGCUCCAAAACCACAACAGCGGCUCCAACAACCACAACCCAGGUCCAACAACCACAACAGCGGCUCCAACAACCACAACAGCGCCUCCAACAACCACAACCGCCAUUCUGACUACCACAACAGCAGCUCCAACAACUACAACAGCAGCUCCAACAACCACAACAUCGGCUCCAACAACCACAACAUCGGCUCCAACAACCACAACUGCAGGUCCAACAACCCCAACCGCAGGUCCAACAACCACAACAGCAGCUCCAACAACCACAACAGCAGCUCCAACAACCACAACUGCAGGUCCAACAACCACAACCGCAGGUCCAACAACCACAACCGCGCCUCCAACAACCACAACAGCGCCUCCAACAACCACAACAGCGGCUCCAACAACCACAACAGCAGCUCCAACAACCACAACAGCGCCUCCAACAACCACAACAGCAGCUCCAACAACCACAACAGCAGCUCCAACAACCACAACAGCGCCUCCAACAACCACAACAGCGCCUCCAACAACCACAACAGCGGCUCCAACAACCACAACAGCGCCUCCAACAACCACAACAGCAGGUCCAACACCCACAACAGCAGGUCCAACAACCACUACAGCAGCUCCAACGACCACAACAGCGCCUCCAACGACCACAACAGCGCCUCCAACGACCACAACAGCGCCUCCAACGACCACAACAGCGCCUCCAACAACCACAACAUCGGCUCCAACAACCACAACAGCGGCUCCAACAACCACAACCGCAGGUCCAACAACCACAACUGCAGGUCCUACGACCACAACAGCGGCUCCAACAACCACAACCCCAGCUCCAACAACCACAACAGCGGCUCCAACAACCACAACAGCAGCUCCAACAACCACAACUGCAGGUCCAACAACCACAACCGCAGGUCCAACAACCACAACAGCAGCUCCAACAACCACAACAGCAGCUCCAACAACCACAACAGCAGCUCCAACAACCACAACCGCAGGUCCAACAACCACAACCGCGCCUCCAACAACCACAACAGCGCCUCCAACAACCACAACAGCGGCUCCAACAACCACAACAGCAGCUCAACAACCACAACAGCAGCUCCAACAACCACAACAGCGCCUCCAACAACCACAACAGCGCCUCCAACAACCACAACAGCAGCUCCAACAACCACAACAGCAGCUCCAACAACCACAACAGCAGCUCCAACAACCACAACAGCGCCUCCAACAACCACAACAGCAGCUCCAACAACCACAACAGCAGCUCCAACAACCACAACAGCGCCUCCAACAACCACAACAGCAGCUCCAACAACCACAACAGCAGCUCCAACAACCACAACAGCAGCUCCAACAACCACAACAGCGGCUCCAACAACCACAACUGCAGGUCCAACAACCACAACCGCAGGUCCAACAACCACAACAGCGCCUCCAACAACCACAACAGCGCCUCCAACAACCACAACAGCGGCUCCAACAACCACAACAGCAACUCCAACCACCACAACAGCGGCUCCAACAACCACAACAGCAGCUCCAACCACCACAACAGCAGGUCCCACAACCACAACGGCAACUCCAACAACCACAACGGCAACUCCAACAACCACAACAGCGGCUCCAACAACCACAACAGCAACUCCAACUACCACAACAGCAACUCCAACAACCACAACAGCGCCUCCAACAACCACAACAGCGCCUCCAACAACCACAACAGCACCUCCAACAACCACAACAGCGCCUCCAACAACCACAACAGCGGCUCAAACAACCACAACAACAAUUCCAACUACCACAACCGCAGCAGUCCAGCAACCACAACAGCGCCUCCAACAACCACAACAGCAAUUCUGACUACCACAACAGCAAUUUGACUACCACAACAGCAGCUCCAACAACUACAACAGCUGCUCCAACAACUACAACAGCAGCUCCAACAAUCACAACAGCAGCCAACAACCACAACAGCGGCUCCAACAACCACAACAGCGGCUCCAACAACCACAACAGCGGCUCUAACCACCACAACAGCGGCUCCAACCACCACAACAGCGGCUCCAACAACCACAACUCCAACAACCACAACAGCAGCUCCAACAACCACAACAGCGCCUCCAACAACCACAACAGCAAUUCUGACUACCACAACAGCAGCUCCAACAACUACAACAGCAGCUCCAACAACCACAACCGCGCCUCCAACAACCACAACAGCAGCUCCAACAACCACAACAGCAGCUCCAACAACCACAACAGCAGCUCCAACAACCACAACAGCGGCUCCAACAACCACAACAGCGGCUCCAACAACCACAACAGCGGCUCCAACAACCACAACAGCGGCUCCAACCACCACAACAGCGGCUCCAACCACCACAACAGCGGCUCCAACACCACACAACAGCGGCUCCAACCACCACAACAGCGGCUCCAACAACCACAACAGCGGCUCCAACCACCACAACAGCGGCUCCAACCACCACAACAGCGGCUCCAACCACCACAACAGCGGCUCCAACCACCACAACAGCGGCUCCAACAACCACAACAGCGGCUCCAACAACCACAACAGCAAUUCUGA